UGCCAGCAGCCGCGGUAAUACUGAAGGUGCAAGCGUUAAUCGGAAUCACUGGGCUUAAAGGGUGCGUAGGCGGUCGUUUAAGCAGGGUGUGAAAUGCCCCGGCUCAACCGGGGAACUGCGCUCUGAACUGGACGGCUUGAGUGAGAUAGAGGUGUGCGGAACUUCCGGUGGAGCGGUGAAAUGUGUUGAUAUCGGAGGGAACACCAUUGGCGAAAGCGGCACACUGGGUCUCAACUGACGCUGAGGCACGAAAGCCAGGGGAGCAAACAGGAUUAGAUA
rnacentral:rRNA from 1 species